AUAUACCACAAUUUCUUUAUCCAUUCAUCUAUUGAAGGGCACAUAGGUCUGUUCCAUAGCCUAGAUAUUAUGAAUUGUGCUGCUAUAAAUAUUGAGGUGGCUAUAUUACUGUAGUAUACUGAUUUUAAAACUUUUGGAUAUAUACCAAGGAGUGGGAUAACUGGGUUAAAUGGUUCCUAGUUUUUUAAGGACUCUCCAUACUUCUUUCCAGAGUGGUUGCACAGACUCAACUGGUAUAGAAAUAUGGUGCUGAAUGAGCACUCUACCGCUGAGCCACA
rnacentral:lncRNA from 1 species